GUGAUGUGAAGGCAGAUUCAGGUGUAUUGAACAGAGAAACAUGACUGUGAUGUGAAGGCAGAUUCAGGUGUAUUGAACAGAGAAACAUGACUGUGAUGUGAAGGCAGAUUCAGGUGUAUUGGGCAGAGAAACAUGACUGUGAUGUGAAGGCAGAUUCAGGUGUAUUGGGCAGAGAAACAUGACUGUGAUGUGAAGGCAGAUUCAGGUGUAUUGGGCAGAGAAACAUGACUGUGAUGUGAAGGCAGAUUCAGGUGUAUUGGGCAGAGAAACAUGACUGUGAUGUGAAGGCAGAUUCAGGUGUAUUGGGCAGAGAAACAUGACUGUGAUGUGAAGGCAGAUUCAGGUGUAUUGAACAGAGAAACAUGACUGUGAUGUGAAGGCAGAUUCAGGUGUAUUGGGCAGAGAAACAUGACUGUGAUGUGAAGGCAGAUUCAGGUGUAUUGGGCAGAGAAACAUGACUGUGAUGUGAAGGCAGAUUCAGGUGUAUUGGGCAGAGAAACAUGACUGUGAUGUGAAGGCAGAUUCAGGUGUAUUGGGCAGAGAAACAUGACUGUGAUGUGAAGGCAGAUUCAGGUGUAUUGAACAGAGAAACAUGACUGUGAUGUGAAGGCACAUUCAGGUGUAUUG